rnacentral:rRNA from 1 species
AUACGGAGGGUGCAAGCGUUAUUCGGAAUCACUGGGCGUAAAGGACGCGUAGGCGGGUUGGCAAGUCAGAUGUGAAAUCCUACAGCUUAACUGUAGAACUGCAUUUGAAACUGCUAACCUAGAGUAUGGGAGGGGGAGAUGGAAUUAGUGGUGUAGGGGUAAAAUCCGUAGAUAUCACUAGGAAUACCGAAAGCGAAGGCGAUCUCCUGGAACAUAACUGACGCUAAGGCGUGAAAGCGUGGGGAGCAAACAGAAUUAGAUACCCCAGUAGUCC